GUUCAUCAGCACAGACAUGAGGGCGGUCUUCAAUACAUGUUGGAUGUCCCCAGUAUUGAGAGACGGGUGAGAACAGCUUCAUCAAAGUACUCAUAGCAAGAUUAUUUGAAAAACUGCAACCAACAGAAAGUGAGAUUUUCUUGAGACUGUUUGGGAACUUGUUGAGGAAUGAACUGUAAAUGCAAGUGAUGACUAGAAAUGCAGAGUGUCAACAGUCACCCCUCCAUAGGCUUACCAACAAAGAACAGGGGGGUUGUAUGGGCACUUUUUGGCAAGUGGAUAGAAGCAGAGUUGGUAGUGAGAGUGGAAGAAACAUGUGCUGUCCAUCCAAGAGAAGUCUGUCUUCUGCAGUGACUGUAAGUUGUCUUUUCAAGUAGUGAAGAUGAUGUACGUUAAGGCCAUAGAUUGAUGUCAUAGACACAUGCAUGUAUCUUUCUUGUUAGAAGCACCAGCAAGUCUGGUACGAGCCAAUGUGGCUUAUCAGGCUGGUGUUUAUUGUGGUUUCCUUGGCAUGAAAUGACUGAGAAUAUUUCUUCUCCCCCCAGGAUGGAAUGCCAGGCCAUCGCAGGUUGCUUCCCAGCUAAUGCUGGUACCCAUUUAUACUUCUGGGUUAGAGAGGCAAGCAGAGGUGAAGUACGUGGCUUGCCAAGGGCUACAACAUACUGCCAGCAGCUGGAUUUGAACCUUCAGCCCUAUGAUUGGAAACCAUAGAACCUAAUCACUUGGCCACAUGAAAGAGAUCAGCCAUACUUUUCUAUUUUUUUAUGAGCCAAGGUGUUUAGUUUCAGAUAGCAGCUUUUUACAGUCACUUUGACAGUCGUCGUCGGCAUCCUUUCGUCUUCAUGAGACGAUGGAGUAGUUCCAAUUUCUGCUCAUCUGCACCUGCGGUAGUGACUGUACAGCUCAAGCCACAAGUGGCAGUCCUGUUGGCAGUUUGCACAGAUGAAAGAGCUACGUUUCUGUUGCAGGCGCUGUUUUUCUUUCCGCCUUGAUCUUUUGGCGGCGAUGGCUGUGUUUGUAGACUCCUCACCCAUCCACACACCGCUCUUCACAGUUGCACGCCCGAACGUGCGGUCCUCAGCAAGGUUGUCCCACGUGGCAACAUCAAUGCCGCACUUCUUCAGGUCUCUCUUACAGACAUCUUUAAAGCUUGGGUGAGGGCGUCCGAUUGGUCGUGCUCCCUCAGCCAGCUCGCCAUACAAGAGGUCCUUAG